GAUGAACGCUGGCGGCGUGCCUAAUACAUGCAAGUCGAGCGAACGGACGAGAAGCUUGCUUUUCUGAUGUUAGCGGCGGACGGGUGAGUAACACGUGGAUAACCUACCUAUAAGACUGGGAUAACUUCGGGAAACCGGAGCUAAUACCGGAUAAUAUUUUGAACCGCAUGGUUCAAAAGUGAAAGACGGUCUUGCUGUCACUUAUAGAUGGAUCCGCGCUGCAUUAGCUAGUUGGUAAGGUAACGGCUUACCAAGGCAACGAUGCAUAGCCGACCUGAGAGGGUGAUCGGCCACACUGGAACUGAGACACGGUCCAGACUCCCACGGGAGGCAGCAGUAGGGAAUCUUACGCAAUGGGCGAAAGCCUGACGGAGCAACGCCGCGUGAGUGAUGAAGGUCUUCGGAUCGUAAAACUCUGUUAUUAGGGAAGAACAUAUGUGUAAGUAACUGUGCACAUCGUGACGGUACCUAAUCAGAAAGCCACGGCUAACUACGUG
rnacentral:rRNA from 1 species